rnacentral:rRNA from 1 species
UCGCCCUUGGGGGGUGCUAAUACAUGCAAGUCGAGCGCAGGAAAUCGACGGAACCCUUCGGGGGGAAGUCGACGGAAUGAGCGGCGGACGGGUGAGUAACACGUAAAGAACCUGCCCUCAGGUCUGGGAUAACCACGAGAAAUCGGGGCUAAUACCGGAUGGGUCAUCGGACCGCAUGGUCCGAGGAUGAAAGGCGCUCCGGCGUCGCCUGGGGAUGGCUUUGCGGUGCAUUAGCUAGUUGGUGGGGUAAUGGCCCACCAAGGCGACGAUGCAUAGCCGACCUGAGAGGGUGAUCGGCCACACUGGGACUGAGACACGGCCCAGACUCCUACGGGAGGCAGCAGUAGGGAAUCUUCCACAAUGGACGAAAGUCUGAUGGAGCAACGCCGCGUGAACGAUGAAGGCCUUCGGGUCGUAAAGUUCUGUUGUAAGGGAAGAACAAGUGCCGCAGGCAAUGGCGGCACCUUGACGGUACCUUGCGAGAAAGCCACGGCUAACUACGUGCCAGCAGCCGCGGUAAUACGUAGGUGGCAAGCGUUGUCCGGAAUUAUUGGGCGUAAAGCGCGCGCAGGCGGCCUCUUAAGUCUGAUGUGAAAGCCCCCGGCUCAACCGGGGAGGGCCAUUGGAAACUGGGAGGCUUGAGUAUAGGAGAGAAGAGUGGAAUUCCACGUGUAGCGGUGAAAUGCGUAGAGAUGUGGAGGAACACCAGUGGCGAAAGCGACUCUUUGGCCUAUAACUGACGCUGACGCGCGAAAGCGUGGGGAGCAAACAGGAUUAGAUACCCCUGGUAGUCCACCCCGUACACGAUGAGUGCUAGUGUUGGAGGGUUUCCGCCCUUCAGUGCUGAAGCUAACGCAUUAAGCACUCCGUCUGGGGGAGUACGGUCGCAAUGCUGAAACUUCUUAGGAAUGGACGGGGAUCGGCUCAAGCGGUGUACUAGUGGUUUAAUUCGUAUGUAUCGCGUAUGACUUUACCUACUCUUGACAUCCCUCUGACUGCACGAAGAUGUGUCUUCCCCUUCGGUGGUACGGUGUGACAGUGGCUGCACAGUGCCGUCAUCUCGAGCUCCUGAGUGCUGUGUAGUGCGAUCGAUGAUCAGCCUCUUGUCGUAC